ACGUCGGAUACGGAGAGAUGAGAGCCCUGGUGGGGAAGGGUGUAAACGUGCCCCUGCAGAAAAGCCUGAGGACAUGGAGUUCCAGGUGCCUUCCAGUGACAGCGAGGGUCUGACCUACAUGGAGCUGCAAGCUGUGACCCCCAGCACUCAGCCCCUCAACCCCUCCGCU